GUGAAUCAUCGAAUUUUUGAACGCAAAUUGCACUCUCUGGUAUUCCGGAGAGUAUGCCUGUUUGAGGGUAUGAUUAAAUAAAAAUUGGUGGGGUUGCUGCCUUUCGUGGUGACGCACCGGAUGUGGUUAGUCCUGUUUUUGGUUAAGUGACAUAAAAUUUUGUAUGAUUUUUUUCGGACGUAUUUAAAUGUUUUUAUGUACGUUUGCGAUAUCGAUUUCUAGGUGUGGUUAUCCUCAUGAUUCGCGCCUAUAAUUUUUUUUCAAAAUGACCUCAAAUCAGGUAAGAGUACCCGCUGAAUUU
rnacentral:misc_RNA from 1 species